rnacentral:rRNA from 1 species
AUACGGAGGGUGCAAGCGUUAAUCGGAAUUACUGGGCGUAAAGCGUACGUAGGCGGUUUGUUAAGUUAGAUGUGAAAGCCCCGGGCUUAACCUGGGAACUGCAUUUAAAACUGGCGAACUAGAGUUGAGUAGAGGGGAGUGGAAUUUCAGGUGUAGCGGUGAAAUGCGUAGAGAUCUGAAGGAACACCAGUGGCGAAGGCGACUCCCUGGACUCGAACUGACGCUGAGGUACGAAAGCGUGGGUAGCAAACGGGAUUAGAAACCCUAGUAGUCC